ACAGAUGGCCUUGCUCAUUUGAAUAGGUUUGAUCUUGUCUAGUGUUCAAAGCUAAGCAAGUUUGGGCUUGGUUAGCACUUGAAUGGUUUGUUUGAGGCCUGGUGCUUCUCUA
rnacentral:rRNA from 1 species